GGUUAAGCGACUAAGCGUACACGGUGGAUGCCCUGGCAGUCAGAGGCGAUGAAGGACGUGCUAAUCUGCGAAAAGCGUCGGUAAGGUGAUAUGAACCGUUAUAACCGGCGAUGUCCGAAUGGGGAAACCCAGUGUGAUUCGUCACACUAUCGUUAACUGAAUACAUAGGUUAACGAGGCGAACCGGGGGAACUGAAACAUCUAAGUACCCCGAGGAAAAGAAAUCAACCGAGAUUCCCCCAGUAGCGGCGAGCGAACGGGGAGCAGCCCAGAGUCUGAAUCAGCUUGUGUGUUAGUGGAACGGUCUGGAAAGUCCGACGGUACAGGGUGAUAGUCCCGUACACCAAAAUGCACAGGUUGUGAACUCGAAGAGUAGGGCGGGACACGUGGUAUCCUGUCUGAAUAUGGGGGGACCAUCCUCCAAGGCUAAAUACUCCUGACUGACCGAUAGUGAACCAGUACCGUGAGGGAAAGGCGAAAAGAACCCCGGCGAGGGGAGUGAAAAAGAACCUGAAACCGUGUACGUACAAGCAGUGGGAGCACCUUCGGGUGUGACUGCGUACCUUUUGUAUAAUGGGUCAGCGACUUAUAUUCUGUAGCAAGGUUAACCGUAUAGGGGAGCCGCAGGGAAACCGAGUCUUAACUGGGCGUUAAGUUGCAGGGUAUAGACCCGAAACCCGGUGAUCUAGCCAUGGGCAGGUUGAAGGUUGGGUAACACUAACUGGAGGACCGAACCGACUAAUGUUGAAAAAUUAGCGGAUGACUUGUGGCUGGGGGUGAAAGGCCAAUCAAACCGGGAGAUAGCUGGUUCUCCCCGAAAGCUAUUUAGGUAGCGCCUCGUGAAUUCAUCUUCGGGGGUAGAGCACUGUUUCGGCUAGGGGGUCAUCCCGACUUACCAACCCGAUGCAAACUACGAAUACCGAAGAAUGUUAUCACGGGAGACACACGGCGGGUGCUAACGUCCGUCGUGAAGAGGGAAACAACCCAGACCGCCAGCUAAGGUCCCAAAGUCAUGGUUAAGUGGGAAACGAUGUGGGAAGGCACAGACAGCCAGGAUGUUGGCUUAGAAGCAGCCAUCAUUUAAAGAAAGCGUAAUAGCUCACUGGUCGAGUCGGCCUGCGCGGAAGAUGUAACGGGGCUAAACCAUGCACCGAAGCUGCGGCAGCGACACUAUGUGUUGUUGGGUAGGGGAGCGUUCUGUAAGCCUGCGAAGGUGUGCUGUGAGGCAUGCUGGAGGUAUCAGAAGUGCGAAUGCUGACAUAAGUAACGAUAAAGCGGGUGAAAAGCCCGCUCGCCGGAAGACCAAGGGUUCCUGUCCAACGUUAAUCGGGGCAGGGUGAGUCGACCCCUAAGGCGAGGCCGAAAGGCGUAGUCGAUGGGAAACAGGUUAAUAUUCCUGUACUUGGUGUUACUGCGAAGGGGGGACGGAGAAGGCUAUGUUAGCCGGGCGACGGUUGUCCCGGUUUAAGCAUGUAGGCUGGUUGUCCAGGCAAAUCCGGAUAAUCAAGGCUGAGGUGUGAUGACGAGGCACUACGGUGCUGAAGUAACAAAUGCCCUGCUUCCAGGAAAAGCCUCUAAGCAUCAGGUAACAUCAAAUCGUACCCCAAACCGACACAGGUGGUCAGGUAGAGAAUACCAAGGCGCUUGAGAGAACUCGGGUGAAGGAACUAGGCAAAAUGGUGCCGUAACUUCGGGAGAAGGCACGCUGGUGUGUAGGUGAAGUCCCUGCGGAUGGAGCUGAGACCAGUCGAAGAUACCAGCUGGCUGCAACUGUUUAUUAAAAACACAGCACUGUGCAAACACGAAAGUGGACGUAUACGGUGUGACGCCUGCCCGGUGCCGGAAGGUUAAUUGAUGGGGUUAUCCGUAAGGAGAAGCUCUUGAUCGAAGCCCCGGUAAACGGCGGCCGUAACUAUAACGGUCCUAAGGUAGCGAAAUUCCUUGUCGGGUAAGUUCCGACCUGCACGAAUGGCGUAAUGAUGGCCAGGCUGUCUCCACCCGAGACUCAGUGAAAUUGAACUCGCUGUGAAGAUGCAGUGUACCCGCGGCAAGACGGAAAGACCCCGUGAACCUUUACUAUAGCUUGACACUGAACAUUGAGCCUUGAUGUGUAGGAUAGGUGGGAGGCUUUGAAGCGUGGACGCCAGUCUGCGUGGAGCCAACCUUGAAAUACCACCCUUUAAUGUUUGAUGUUCUAACGUUGGCCCCUGACCGGGGUUGCGGACAGUGUCUGGUGGGUAGUUUGACUGGGGCGGUCUCCUCCCAAAGCGUAACGGAGGAGCACGAAGGUUAGCUAAUCCUGGUCGGACAUCAGGAGGUUAGUGCAAUGGCAUAAGCUAGCUUGACUGCGAGCGUGACGGCGCGAGCAGGUGCGAAAGCAGGUCAUAGUGAUCCGGUGGUUCUGAAUGGAAGGGCCAUCGCUCAACGGAUAAAAGGUACUCCGGGGAUAACAGGCUGAUACCGCCCAAGAGUUCAUAUCGACGGCGGUGUUUGGCACCUCGAUGUCGGCUCAUCACAUCCUGGGGCUGAAGUAGGUCCCAAGGGUAUGGCUGUUCGCCAUUUAAAGUGGUACGCGAGCUGGGUUUAGAACGUCGUGAGACAGUUCGGUCCCUAUCUGCCGUGGGCGCUGGAGAAUUGAGGGGGGCUGCUCCUAGUACGAGAGGACCGGAGUGGACGCAUCACUGGUGUUCGGGUUGUCAUGCCAAUGGCACUGCCCGGUAGCUAAAUGCGGAAGAGAUAAGUGCUGAAAGCAUCUAAGCACGAAACUUGCCCCGAGAUGAGUUCUCCCUGAGACUUUAAGUCUCCUGAAGGAACGUUGAAGACGACGACGUUGAUAGGCCGGGUGUGUAAGCGCAGCGAUGCGUUGAGCUAACCGGUACUAAUGAACCGUGAGGCUUAACCUU
rnacentral:rRNA from 1 species